rnacentral:piRNA from 1 species
UAUGGUGCAUUGUGUUUUAUGGCUAUAA